rnacentral:rRNA from 1 species
GUCUGUAUGGUUGUUAUAUAGAGUCUAGCCUGCCCACUGAUGUAUAUUAAAGGGCCGCGGUAUUUUGACCGUGCGAAGGUAGCAUAAUCAUUAGUCUUUUAAUUGAAGGCUUGUAUGAAUGGUUGGACAAAAAGCGAGCUGUCUUUGCUAUAGUGUUUGAAUUUAACUUUUGAGUGAAAAGGCUCAAAUAAUUUAGGGGGACGAUAAGACCCUAUAAAGCUUUACAAUAAAGAGGUGAAGCAUAAUUUGUUAGUUUAACUUGCUCCACCUUGGAGUUGUUUCGUUGGGGCGACGAGAAUAUAAUUUAAAUAACUGUUCUUUCAUAAAAUUAACAGUGUUAGUUGGGCGGAGAAUUGAUCCUUUAUUAGAGAUUAAAAGAUUAAGUUACUUUAGGGAUAACAGCGUAAUCUUCUUUAAGAGUUCAGAUCGACAAGAAGGGUUGCGACCUCGAUGUUGAAUUAAGGGUUCCUUGUGGUGCAGCAGUUGCAAAGGAAGGUCUGUUCGACCUUUAAAUCCUU